CCUACGGGUGGCAGCAGUGAGGAAUAUUGGUCAAUGGGCGCGAGCCUGAACCAGCCAAGUCGCGUGAGGGAAGACGGCCCUACGGGUUGUAAACCUCUUUUGCCGGGGAGCGACGGGCGCCACGUGUGCCCCCACUGAGAGUCCCCGGAGAAAAAGCCUCGGCUAACUCCGUGCCCGCAGCCGCGGUAAUACGGAGGGUGCGAGGGUUCUCCGGUUUUUGUGGGUUAAAGGGGUGCUGAGGCGGAGCGUUAAGUCAGUGGUAAAAUUGAGGGGCUAAACCCCUUCCCGCCAUUGAAACUGGCGCUCUUGAGUGGAAGAGAAGUAGGCGGAAUGCGUGGUGUAGCGGUGAAAUGCAUAGAUAUCACGCAGAACCCCGAUUGCGAAGGCAGCAUGCCGGCUGGCGACUGACGCUGAAGCACGAAAGCGUGGGGAUCGAACAGGAUUAGAUACCCCGGUAGUC
rnacentral:rRNA from 1 species